CUCAGUGUAGUUUUGUAUCUGUAAAAUUAGGGAGUUGGCCUUAAUGAUCUCAAAGGUCCUUUCAGCCAUGGGUGGGAAAAUAGUAUCUAAAUCCAAGGGGUAUAUACUUCUGCUGCUCUUGUUUACCUCUGAUGCAAGUCCCGAAGCUCAGGAACCCUAGUGCCACCUGAAGGACUGGGCAGAUACAGGCUAAUGGGGAUCUCCAGGGCCAUGAGAAGGGUGACUUCUACAGAGGAGGUGGGGAAGACCAGGAGCUGCUCCAGCCCUGAGUGGGAAGCCAGUGCCUCCCCACUCACUGGAAAACUCAAAGACCUUUCUUGUACGUUAGCUCAUUUGAUUCUUCCCUCUCCCUAAUAAGGUUAGUUAUUUAUGGUAGCCUCAUAUGUGUCCAUAGGGCAGAGACAGAGAGAAUGCUUAUGGGAAUGGAAACAUAUUUUUAAGAACAUCCAGGAACUCAGGGUAGGAAAGAGGCAGCCAGCUGGCGUCAUAGGCUCUUGAUUCCAGGCUAUGAGGCAGGUUUCUCAAGUUACCAGGAAAGUUUCUCCACCAGUGCUGAGGACCCACCUUACUUCUCUGUAUCCUACACUCACUGAUUGACUGGCUCCCACUCACCAUAGAACCAGUCCUCCUAUUGGGCUGAGUUCACACUGUCACCUCCAAGAUACCUGUGACAAGAUAAUUGUGAUAUUAAUUCAUUUGCUGUAUUUUUCCAUUGCCUUCUCUUUCCAAGCAGGCACUGCUAGUCAAGUUUUUUGUUUUUUCUUGCCUUAGGAAUUCUUGCAGAGCAGAAGAUAGAAGCUCCUUGAAGUUAAUAUAUCUUUCUUUCUGGAGAGAUUCUCCUUCUGGCCUUGAAGGAGAAGCAAGAAUUCUACAGCUAUAAGAAAAUUAAUUCUGCCAACAACCACAUGAACUUGGAAGAAGACCCUGAACUGCAGCAGCUAAGGCCUCCAUCCAGGUGGAGGAUGGUGACUCCAUGCUGAGACCCCAGAC